UUUAACCAUUACGUAUAACAGACCGGCUUUUAAUACAUCGGCGUUAAAUGGCUGAUAACAAUUGAGGAGAUCAUUUAUACUGCCAUUUACAUAAAAGAACUUUCAAAAUAGAUCCCUUGAGUCAUGAGGCAAAUUCAGUUCACGGUCAAAAUGACCAAAGAACCUCCGUAAGCCAUGAUAAAUCCAUCUGUUGUGUGAAAAAUGAUGAAAUUGGUGCAUCUGGUAGAGAUGUUGAUACAUUCUCAUCGUUAGAUUAUGGUGAAUCCGACUUCUCCUUUUAUGACCAGUCUAGCGAUUGUUUUGUUGAUGAUAAAAAAGUUACAGAUGUUUGUUCUGAUAUUCCAAUUAGAAACUCAAGUAAUUUUCUUGGCUCUAAUAAUAGUGAUGUGUUAGUUGAUUUUUGUCACGAUGACGCCCCUCGUAAUCCGAGUGAUGCAAUUGGUUCUGAGUAUAGUGCCAUCUUAGUUGAUGUUUUUCAAGAGAAGGCUCUACGUAAUCCGAGUAAUGUGAAUGGUUCUAAGGAUAGUGACUUAUCAGUUGAUGUUUGUCGAGAUAAUUUCUUAUGUAAUUCAAAUGAUAUUACUAGUUCUGAGUAUAGUGACAUCUAAGUUGAUCUUUGUCGAGAAGACGCCCAACGCAAUCCAAGUAAUGUUAAUGGUUCUGAGUAUAGUGACAUCUUAGUUGAUGUUUGUCAAGAAGACGCCCUACAUAAUCCGAGUAAUGAUAAUGGUUCUAAGGAUAGUUACUUAUCAGUUGA